rnacentral:rRNA from 1 species
CGGGGUGGAGUAAUGUCUGGGAAACUGCCUGAUGGGGGGGGAUAACUACUGGAAACGGUAGCUAAUACCGCAUAACGUCGCAAGACCAAAGUGGGGGACCUUCGGGCCUCAUGCCAUCAGAUGUGCCCAGAUGGGAUUAGCUAGUAGGUGGGGUAACGGCUCACCUAGGCGACGAUCCCUAGCUGGUCUGAGAGGAUGACCAGCCACACUGGAACUGAGACACGGUCCAG